AUAUCUAGCUAGCGGAUAUGAAAGCCUAGUCAUGGGGCUCCACUUAGUGACGUGUUAGGCUUACAAUAAGUGAGAAAUGAAGCAGAUAUUGGCGGACAAAUGGGGAAGGCUGCCUCCACCUCAGCUGAUAACAUUAAUAGUAAUUGACGAACACAACACACCACGUGGAGAGAAGCAAGGUGUGGAGUACCCAAGCCUCUCACAGUCCAUGCUAGUAGACUCACCCUGCAUGUGGAGAUCUCCCAAAAUGCACGGAGGUUAUUCCAGAGCUGCAGGACAGAGUACUUGAGGCCAUUGGUGAACAGAAAGCUGAGGUUGAACAAAGCCAAGAAUUGAUAGCUGCCCAAGGUGUAAGCAAGAUUCACAAUGAUGAGGUCAUUGUGACGUGUGCAAUGUGUCCACUGGUCUUGGCCUUCCUGACCAAGGCAGCCACACAAAGGAAAUUCCACGUUAUUGUUGCUGAACGUGCCCCUAAAUAUGAUGGUCACCCAGUGGCAAAAGCUUUAUGUACUGCUGGAAUUGAGACAACAUUAAUUCAAGACUCUGCAGUGUUCCCCAUCAUGUCACGUGUCAACAAGGUCAUCAAAGGUCAUCGUUGGCACCGAGACGGUGGUGACCAACGGAGGCAUUGAGACCUUUGUUGGUGCAGCCUCUCUUGCCUCACCACCAAAGUUUUAUUCUGUUCCAUCGAGGUACUGCACCAUCCUACGUGUACCGGCAGCUUAGCGAACUGUACCGUCCCACUUCUUGUGAUCUCUAAGGUAACAGCUUUAAUCCUUGCAAAUAAGGAAUAAGAGAAAAGAGACACACCUGCCAUUUGUACUGUUAUGCUGUAGUGUUCUGUCAUUUUUUUUCCUCUUUUAUCCUAGAACCAUUUUUGGUCAUUCAUGUUUCUAAAAAUUAUUAUACAAAAAUGUUGAGCUUAAUAUGUUUGGUGUAGCUUUUUGUAACAUGUGUUAUUGUUAAUGUGUGUGGUUCCCCUCAGGAAGAAUGUUGCAGUAUUAGCAGUAAUGUUACAGCCAAUGGAAGUGUCUGUAUUGUGCUUUGGUGGGAGGUUAAUUUGAUGUAUUUUUAGAGUUGUGCAGGAUAUUAUAGCAAGCCCUCAAAAUAAAGAAAAUAACUAUAGAAAA